CAUGUACUCCUCUGUCCCAAAAUUCUUGUAUUAGAUUUGUCUAGACACGGAUGUACCUAAUACUAAAACAUGACUUGAUACAUCCGUAUCUAGACAAAUCUAAGACAAGAAUUUUAGGACGGAGGGAGUAGUAC
rfam:Triticum urartu cultivar G1812 contig922087, whole genome shotgun sequence.